rnacentral:tRNA from 1 species
AAAGCCAUAGAAUAAUUAUUUCAUCUCCCUGUCAAGGAGAAAGUACCUAGAAGAGGUUGGCUUGG